rnacentral:ncRNA from 1 species
GACUCAUCCCCGGGGAGCCAUGCCGGUCCGCUUGCGGACCAUGGGCUGAGAGGUGGGCGUUGCGCCCCACGACCCGUCGAACCUGAACCCGUUAACACGGGCGGAGGGAGUGGACGGCGCCCGCCCU